rnacentral:lncRNA from 1 species
CGCUUGGGCUCGCACUGCGCAGGCGCGAGGCCACGUGACCGACGCGAACCAAUCAGCGAAGGAGGGGAGGCUCGCCCGAGGGCGGGCACGUGACCGGAAGUGCUUCCACAGCUGUUUUCCGUUUCCGGUGCCCUCCGCCUCCGGCGGCGGGGUGAGGCCGGCAGUGCCCCGGCGGCGUCCCCAUGUGGAGCUGUCCCUCAAUUGCCACUCGGACCUACCUCAAACACUAACCCAGCACUAACCGGGUGCCAAUUUAGAGCUAAUUAAGCAUUAAUUGAGUUCUGAGUAGCCUCAAUUAAGCCCUAAUUAGUCCCUAAUGAGGCGGUAGCACCCGGGGCAUCGUCGCCAUGGCGCUGCGGCGCCUCUGCACCAGGGCCCCCCAGGACCACUACGAGGUUUUGGGGUCCCCCCCGACGCCACCCCCAACAGAUCCGUGCGGCGUUCCUGCAGCGCUGCAAGGAGGU